AUGACUCUUUUGCCUUUCAGCUAAGAUCAAGCAGAGUAUUUAUUCUUAUCACUUUAAUGUCUGAUAGGUCCUUUAUCUGAAGACUGUAUAUUAAAUAGAUUUUUUGGAAUAGAGACAUGGAAUAGGAACUUACUUUGUCCACUCCAGAUUGAUGUGGUACUACAGCACUUCUGGGAACAGUG
rnacentral:snRNA from 1 species